rnacentral:lncRNA from 1 species
AGAUAUAACCCACAUACAUAAAAACUCUUUGAGAUUCUCCAUAAUUUUUAACAAUGUAAACGGGUCCUGACAAAAAAAUAUUGAGAGCUGCUGUAAAGGUUAGUGAGACCCGGGUUCCAACUCCUGCUUCACUCUCCGAGCUGGGCGGCCUGGACCAACUGGCUGUAAGCUCUUUGUCUCCGCCCAUAGAAACGGGGGCGACGAGAGUGCCCACCACAGAAGGCUGCGCUCAGGCACCGGCUGAGAGUCAGGCUGCGCCCUUGUCCCAGGGUGCUGAUGUGACUUUUGGGGGGACCCAGAAUUAGCGUCAAAGCUCAAAGCUGAGGGCAAAGUAUGCUAAGUCCUGCGCUUUCGAAAGGGAGAUGAGGAGCCGCCCGGGACGAGUGCCAGAUGCCCCCCAGUGUGGGAACUCAGAGGCGGCAGAGCACACGUUUCCCACCCCACCCACUGCCCUCUCUCCUCCGAACCCUGACCCCGGACCCCUCCCACCACUGCUGGGCCCACGAACCGCGCACCUGCGUCCCAGCAAAUGUGGGAUAACACUGGUGAGGACCAAGUUCAGAUUCAGAACCAUGUGUGCUGGUGGGACCUCUCUGCCUGAACACUCGCAAACAGCUUAAACUCAGAAUGGAGAACUGGCCGCAUCGCCUUCCUUGCUCUACAGGACACUUGUGUUUGGCACCUCGUGUCCUCUGUCCUCGUCUGAGCUGCCGUGGCCGGGGUGGCCCCUCUUCACUUCCUGCCCAGGGGGCUCCUCUGAUGCCGGCAGGAGCUCCCUUGGCCUCUGCACGAACACAGCUCCUAAGUAGAGGGAGUCAAUGCCCCAGGCACCCUUGACAGUGAGAGACGCGAGCCUGUGGAUAAUCACUCCAUCUUCCGGGCAGACAAUUUGAGGAGGCGUUUGAAAACUUCUCAGCAAGUCCAGACGGAGUCCAGUCCCCGUUGCCCACAGCAUCCACCUCAAUGAGACAGCUUCUCUCAGCUUUUCCUCCUUCCCUGUCCCUCUCUCCCCAGCCCUCGCUCCUGUUCCCUAGGGCCACCUCCCAAAUAAAGUGCCUAGAGCCAAGCCUAGUCAGACUUUGUUCUCUCAGACCCUGUAGCAGUGUGCUGCAGAGGCCGUAACCAAGACGGAGGGGCUUAAACGAUGGAAAUGUCUUGUCUCGCAGUCUGGAGGCUGGAAGUCCAAAAUCACGGUGUUGGCAGGGCUGGUUUCUGAGGCCUGUGUGGGAAGGACGGUCCAGGCCUCUCCCCUUGGCUUGCAGAUGCCAUCUACUCCCGGUGUCUCUGCACUUCAUCUUCCCUUUGUGUCUGUCACGGGGUCCCAAUUUUCCCCUUUUAGGAGGACACCAGUCACACUGAAUUAGGGCCCAUCCUAAUGACCUCGUUUUCACUUGAUUAUCUCUGUAAAGACUCUGUCUCCAAAUGAAGUCCUAUUUGGAAGUCCCGGAGGUCAGGACUUCAAUAGAGAGAGGCGGGGGGAAAGGGCUCACGAUUCGACCCAUGACAGAUAGCAAAGCCAAGACAGACACGGACCUCAAAAGCGCAUUUUCAGGUGGGAUGUGGAACUGGAUCCCCUACUAGUCAGACAGCAGCAAGGACCCAAGGCUGGAAAAGACAGGGAGGUGGGGCUGGCCCCGUGGCCGAGUGGUUAAGUUCGUGCGCUCCGCUGCAGGCGGCCCAGUGUUUCGUCAGUUCGAAUCCUGGGCGCGGACAUGGCACUGCUCAUCAAGCCACGCUGAGGCAGCGUCCCACAUGCCACAACUAGAAGGACCCACAACGAAGAAUAUGCAACUAUGUACCUGGGGGCUUUGGGGAGAAAAAG